GUCCACGCCGUAAACGAUGAGUGCUAAGUGUUAGAGGGUUUCCGCCCUUUAGUGCUGCAGCUAACGCAUUAAGCACUCCGCCUGGGGAGUACGGUCGCAAGACUGAAACUCAAAGGAAUUGACGGGGGCCCGCACAAGCGGUGGAGCAUGUGGUUUAAUUCGAAGCAACGCGAAGAACCUUACCAGGUCUUGACAUCCUCUGACAACUCUAGAGAUAGAGCGUUCCCCUUCGGGGGACAGAGUGACAGGUGGUGCAUGGUUGUCGU
rnacentral:rRNA from 1 species